UACGGGGGGGGCAAGCGUUGUUCGGAAUUACUGGGCGUAAAGGGCGCGUAGGCGGGAUGGCAAGUCGGUCGUGAAAUCCUUCGGCUCAACCGAAGAACGUCGAUCGAUACUGCUGUUCUUGAGGGUUGCAGAGGAGACUGGAAUUCCCGGUGUAGCGGUGAAAUGUGUAGAGAUCGGGAGGAACACCGGUGGCGAAGGCGGGUCUCUGGACAGUUCCUGACGCUGAGGCACGAAGGCCAGGGGAGCAAACGGG
rnacentral:rRNA from 1 species